GGUUGAUCCUGCCAGUUGUGAUAUGCUUGUCUCAAAGAUUAAGCCAUGCAUGUGUGAGUAUGGCGGAGUAGACUCCGCGAAACUGCGAAUGGCUCAAUAAAUCAGUGAUAGUUUCCUCGAUGGAUGCUUUGCUAUCGGAUACCCGUAGUAAAUCUAGAGCUAAUACGUAUGCACAAGACGGGUGUGAGCCCGUUGCGAGUAUGAGAAAUGGCCGGCCGCCUCGUGCGUCCCGUGUCGAAUCAUGAUAUUUGGCGAAUCGAUCCUCGUGAUCGAUGCAUCGACAAGAUUUCUG
rnacentral:rRNA from 1 species